rnacentral:rRNA from 1 species
AACGUAGGUGGCGAGCGUUAUCCGGAUUUACUGGGCGUAAAGCGUGUGCAGGCGGCUGACCAAGUGGUGUAUGAAAUAUCCAGGCUCAACCUGGAGGGGUUAUGCCAGACUGGUCAGCUAGAGUGCGAGAGAGGGGCGUGGAAUUCCUGGUGUAGCGGUGAAAUGCGCAGAUAUCAGGAAGAACACCCGUGGCGAAGGCGGUUCUCUGGGACGGUACUGACGCUGAGACGCGAAAGCGUGGGGAGCGAACAGG